UUUUAUGGAGAGUUUGAUCCUGGCUCAGGAUAAACGCUGGCGGCGUGCCUAAUACAUGCAAGUCGAGCGAACGGACGAGAAGCUUGCUUCUCUGAUGUUAGCGGCGGACGGGGGAGUAACACGUGGAUAACCUACCUAUAAGACUGGGAUAACUUCGGGAAACCGGAGCUAAUACCGGAUAA
rnacentral:rRNA from 1 species